AAUGAACGCUGGCGGCGCGCCUAAUACAUGCAAGUCGAGCGAGAAGACGUAGCAAUACGUUUGUAAAGCGGCGAACGGGUGAGGAAUACAUGGGUAACCUACCCUAGAGUGGGGAAUAACUAGCCGAAAGGUUAGCUAAUACCGCGUACGCUCCUUGGACUUCGGUUCAGGGAGGAAAGCGAUGCCGAGGGUAUCGCGCUCUUGGAUGGGCUCAUGUCCUAUCAGCUUGUUGGGAGGUAACGGCUCACCAAGGCUUCGACGGGUAGCUGGUCUGAGAGGACGAUCAGCCACACUGGCACUGCGACACGGGCCAGACUCCUACGGGAGGCAGCAGUAAGGAAUAUUGCGCAAUGGGCGAAAGCCUGACGCAGCGACGCCGCGUGGGGGAUGAAGGUCUUCGGAUUGUAAACCCCUUUCGGGAGGGAAGA
rnacentral:rRNA from 1 species